AGUCGUAACAAGGUAGCCGUAGGGGAACCUGCGGCUGGAUCACCUCCUUAACGAAAGAUUGACGAUUGGUAAGAAUCCACAACAAGUUGUUCUUCAUAGAUGUAUCUGAGGGUCUGUAGCUCAGUUGGUUAGAGCACACGCUUGAUAAGCGUGGGGUCACAAGUUCAAGUCUUGUCAGACCCACCAUGACUUUGACUGGUUAAAGUUAUAGAUAAAAGAUACAUGACUGAUGAUGUAAGCUGGGGACUUAGCUUAGUUGGUAGAGCGCCUGCUUUGCACGCAGGAGGUCAGGAGUUCGACUCUCCUAGUCUCCACCAGAACUUAAGAUAAGUUCGGAUUACAGAAAUUAGUAAAUAGAGAUUUCGGUCUUGGUUUAUUAACUUCUGUGAUUUAAGUAUCACGGUAUUAAGCAUGACCUGACGAAGGCGUGUUUAUUCAUUAACAGAUUGGCAAAAUUGAGUCUGAAAUAAAUUGUUCACUCAAGAGUUUAGAUUAAGCAAUUAAUCUGAAUGAAUUGAGAACUAGCAAAUUAACUGAAUCAAGCGUUUUGGUAUAUGAAUUUAGAUUGAAGCUGUACAGUGUUUAAAUACACAGUGCUCUAAACUGAAAUGUUGAAGUUACUAACUUGUAGGUAACGUCGACUGUUUGGGGUUGUAUAGUCAAGUAAUUAAGUGCAUGUGGUGGAUGCCUUGGCAC
rnacentral:misc_RNA from 1 species